CGUGUAGGCGGCCGUGCAAGUCAGACGUGAAAUCCCGCAGCUCAACUGCGGAACUGCGUUUGAAACUGCAUGGCUUGAGUACGGGAGAGGAGAGCGGAAUUUCCAGUGUAGCGGUGAAAUGCUCAAAUAUUGGAAGGAACACCGGUGGCGAAGGCGGCUCUCUGGCCUGAUACUGACGCUGAGGCGCGAAAGCUAGGGGAGCGAACAGGAUUAGAUACCCUGGUAGUCC
rnacentral:rRNA from 1 species